GGUUUUGUCCGGAACCGUCGCGGUUUCAGAAUCGCAAAACU
rnacentral:rRNA from 1 species